GACGAACGCUGGCGGCGUGCCUAAUACAUGCAAGUCGAGCGAGUCUGCCUUGAAGAUCGGAGUGCUUGCACUCUGUGAAACAAGAUACAGGCUAGCGGCGGACGGGUGAGUAACACGUGGGUAACCUGCCCAAGAGAUCGUGAUAACACCUGGAAACAGAUGCUAAUACCGGAUAACAACAGAUGAUGCCUAUCAACUGUUUAAAAGAUGGUUCUGCUAUCACUCUUGGAUGGACCUGCGGUGCAUUCGCUAGUUGGUAGGGUAACGGCCUACCAAGGCGAUGAUGCAUAGCCGAGUUGAGAGAGUGAUCGGCCACAUUGGGACUGAGACACGGCCCAAACUCCUACGGGAGGCAGCAGUAGGGAAUCUUCCACAAUGGACGAAAGUAUGAUGGAGCAACGCCGCGUGAGUGAAGAAGGGUUUCGGAUCGUAAAGAUCUGUUGUUGGGGAAGAAGAACAGGGGUAGUAACUGACCUUUGUUUGACGGUAAUUAAUUAGAAAGUCACGGCUAACUACGUG
rnacentral:rRNA from 1 species